UUUUGAGAGUUUGUCCAGGCUCAGACGAACGCUGGCGGCGUGCCUAUACAAUGCAGUUGAGCGAUAAGAUUGGGCUUGCCCAAUUAUGAAGACAGCGAACGGGUGAGUAAACGCGUGGGGAAUUCUUGAGCGGGGGACCAAAAUCGGAAAACGAAUCUAAUAGGAAUAACAUUUAACAUAAGUUUUAAGUUUGAAAGAUGCAAUUGGAUCACUUCAAAGCUGAUCCGCGUUGUAUUAGCUAUUGGUGAGGUAAAGGCAUCCCAACCAAAGGCGAAUGAUACAAAGCCGACUGCAAGUGAGAUUCGGCCACAUGACUCCGGACGGCCCAAACCCUUACUGGAAGCAGUAAGGGAACUAGGCAAUGGACCGAAAGUCGACCGAGCAGCGCAAGCUGAGUGAAGAAGGUUUUUCGGAGAAACUCUGUUGGAGAGAAGAAACGCUUGGUGAGCAGUGAAAGCCAUCAGUGCGGGUAACUGACCAGAAAGGGCGGCCGUACUACGUGCAGCUAGCCGCGGUAUAGUAGCCGAGCGUUGUCUCGAUUUAUUGGGCGGUAAGCUAGCGCAGGUGGUUUUAUAUCCUGGUGUAAAGGCUAGUGGGCUCAAACAAUUGAUUAAUGCAUUGAAAGCUGGUAGACUGAGUGGAGAGAGAGAGUGGAUUCCAUUGUACGGUGAAAUGCGUAGAUAUAUGGAGACACAGGUGGCGAAAGCGGCUCUCUGCCUGUAACUGACAAGCGAGAAGGCUCGAAGGUGGGAGCAACAGGACUAGAUCCCUGGUAGUCAGGCGUAACGAUGGUGCUAGAUGUUAGGUGAGCAUAAAGUCUUUAGCAGCUAACGCAAUAAGCACUCCGCCUGGGGAGUACGAUCCGCAAGGUUGAAACUCAAAGGAAUUGACGGGGGCCCGCACAAAGCGUGGGAGCAUGUGGUUUAAUUCGAAGCAACGCGAAAGAACUUACCAGGUCUUGACAUACUCGUGCUAUCCUAGAGAUAGGAGUUCCUUCGGGAACAGGGAUACAGGUGGCAUGUUUCGUCACUCGUUGUCGUGAGAUUUGGGAUUAAGUUCCGCAACGGAGCGCAACCCCUAUGUUAGUUCCAUCAUUAAGUUAGGCACUCUAACGAGACUGCCGGUGAUAACCGGAGGAAGGUGGGGAUGACGUCAAAUCAUCAUGCCCUUAAUGACUGGGCUACACACGUGCUACAAUGGAGGUACAACGAGUCGCGAGACAGUGAUGUUUAGCUAUAUCUCUUAAACAUUCUCAGUUCGGAUUGUAGGCUGCCAACUCGCCUACAUGAAGUCGGAAUCGCUAGUAAUCGGGAUCAGCACGCCGCGGUGAUACGUUCCCGGGCCUUGUACACACCGCCCGUCACACCACGGGAGUUGGGAGACCCGAAGUAGGUUGCCUAACCGCAAGGAGGGCGCUUCCUAAGGUAAGACCGAUGACUUGGGUGAAGUCGUAACAAGGUAGCCGUAUCGAAGGUGCGGCUGGAUCACCUCCUU
rnacentral:rRNA from 1 species